AUUGAACGCUGGCGGCAGGCCUAACACAUGCAAGUCGAGCGGUAGCACAGAGAGCUUGCUCUCGGGUGACGAGCGGCGGACGGGUGAGUAAUGUCUGGGAAACUGCCUGAUGGAGGGGGAUAACUACUGGAAACGGUAGCUAAUACCGCAUAACGUCGCAAGACCAAAGUGGGGGACCUUCGGGCCUCAUGCCAUCAGAUGUGCCCAGAUGGGAUUAGCUAGUAGGUGGGGUAACGGCUCACCUAGGCGACGAUCCCUAGCUGGUCUGAGAGGAUGACCAGCCACACUGGAACUGAGACACGGUCCAGACUCCUACGGGAGGCAGCAGUGGGGAAUAUUGCACAAUGGGCGCAAGCCUGAUGCAGCCAUGCCGCGUGUGUGAAGAAGGCCUUCGGGUUGUAAAGCACUUUCAGCGGGGAGGAAGGCGUUAAGGUUAAUAACCUUGGCGAUUGACGUUACCCGCAGAAGAAGCACCGGCUAACUCCGUGCCAGCAGCCGCGGUAAUACGGAGGGUGCAAGCGUUAAUCGGAAUUACUGGGCGUAAAGCGCGCGCAGGCGGUCUGUCAAGUCGGAUGUGAAAUCCCCGGGCUCAACCUGGGAACUGCAUUCGAAACUGGCAGGCUAGAGUCUUGUAGAGGGGGGUAGAAUUCCAGGUGUAGCGGUGAAAUGCGUAGAGAUCUGGAGGAAUACCGGUGGCGAAGGCGGCCCCCUGGACAAAGACUGACGCUCAGGUGCGAAAGCGUGGGGAGCAAACAGGAUUAGAUACCCUGGUAGUCCACGCCGUAAACGAUGUCGAUUUGGAGGUUGUGCCCUUGAGGCGUGGCUUCCGGAGCUAACGCGUUAAAUCGACCGCCUGGGGAGUACGGCCGCAAGGUUAAAACUCAAAUGAAUUGACGGGGGCCCGCACAAGCGGUGGAGCAUGUGGUUUAAUUCGAUGCAACGCGAAGAACCUUACCUGGUCUUGACAUCCACAGAACUUUCCAGAGAUGGAUUGGUGCCUUCGGGAACUGUGAGACAGGUGCUGCAUGGCUGUCGUCAGCUCGUGUUGUGAAAUGUUGGGUUAAGUCCCGCAACGAGCGCAACCCUUAUCCUUUGUUGCCAGCGGUUCGGCCGGGAACUCAAAGGAGACUGCCAGUGAUAAACUGGAGGAAGGUGGGGAUGACGUCAAGUCAUCAUGGCCCUUACGACCAGGGCUACACACGUGCUACAAUGGCAUAUACAAAGAGAAGCGACCUCGCGAGAGCAAGCGGACCUCAUAAAGUAUGUCGUAGUCCGGAUUGGAGUCUGCAACUCGACUCCAUGAAGUCGGAAUCGCUAGUAAUCGUAGAUCAGAAUGCUACGGUGAAUACGUUCCCGGGCCUUGUACACACCGCCCGUCACACCAUGGGAGUGGGUUGCAAAAGAAGUAGGUAGCUUAACCUUCGGGAGGGCGCUUACCACUUUGUGAUUCAUGACUGGGGUGA
rnacentral:rRNA from 1 species